GCUGGGCAUGGUCAUGCACACCUGUAAUCCCAGCAGCUUGGGAGGCUGAGGCAGGAGGAUCAUAAAGUUGAGGUUAGACUGAGCUACUUAGGGAGGCCCUAAGAAACCUAGUGAGAGCCUGUCUCAA
rnacentral:sRNA from 1 species